UUGAACGCUGGCGGCAGGCCUAACACAUGCAAGUCGAGCGGAUGAAGGGAGCUUGCUCCUGGAUUCAGCGGCGGACGGGUGAGUAAUGCCUAGGAAUCUGCCUGGUAGUGGGGGAUAACGUCCGGAAACGGGCGCUAAUACCGCAUACGUCCUGAGGGAGAAAGUGGGGGAUCUUCGGACCUCACGCUAUCAGAUGAGCCUAGGUCGGAUUAGCUAGUUGGUGGGGUAAAGGCCUACCAUGGCGACGAUCCGUAACUGGUCUGAGAGGAUGAUCAGUCACACUGGAACUGAGACACGGUCCAGACUCCUACGGGAGGCAGCAGUGGGGAAUAUUGGACGAUGGGCGAAAGCCUGAUCCAGCCAUGCCGCGUGUGUGAAGAAGGUCUUCGGAUUGUAAAGCACUUUAAGUUGGGAGGAAGGGCAGUAAGUUAAUACCUUGCUGUUUUGACGUUACCAACAGAAUAAGCACCGGCUAACUUCGU
rnacentral:rRNA from 1 species